CAUACCCGAACCAAGAAACCAGAUCUCUCUCGUUCUCUCGUUCCAAAACCAGCGUUCUCCCUUGUUCUCUCGUUCUCCAGGUUCGUUUGUGUUCGUAUUGUAUCUCUCUGGAAGGAAGUGGGUUUUUUAGGACGUCGCUGAGGCUGUACUCGAAUAGACUGUGCUUCCUCCCGUCUAUUAAUCUUCACCGCCACGGUUUCAUCUUCUCCGUCUUGCGUCU